rnacentral:tRNA from 1 species
CCCCAAGUGGCUUGGACAGUAAAGAAUCUGCCUGCAGUGCAGAAGACCCGGGUUCAACCCCUGGGCGGGGGGG